rnacentral:rRNA from 1 species
GACGAACGCUGGCGGCGUGCUUAACACAUGCAAGUCGAACGGAAAGGCCCUGCUUUUGUGGGGUGCUCGAGUGGCGAACGGGUGAGUAACACGUGAGUAACCUGCCCUUGACUUUGGGAUAACUUCAGGAAACUGGGGCUAAUACCGGAUAGGAGCUCCUGCUGCAUGGUGGGGGUUGGAAAGUUUCGGCGGUUGGGGAUGGACUCGCGGCUUAUCAGCUUGUUGGUGGGGUAGUGGCUUACCAAGGCUUUGACGGGUAGCCGGCCUGAGAGGGUGACCGGCCACAUUGGGACUGAGAUACGGCCCCGACUCCUACGGGGGGCAGCAGUGGGGAAUAUUGCACAAUGGGCGGAAGCCUGAUGCAGCAACGCCGCGUGCGGGAUGACGGCCUUCGGGUUGUAAACCGCUUUCGCCUGUGACGAAGCGUGAGUGACGGUAAUGGGUAAAGAAGCACCGGCUAACUACGUG